rnacentral:tRNA from 1 species
UAGCUCAAUUGGUAGAGUGCUUGCUUCUCAUGCAUAAGGCCCUGGGUUCAAUCCCCAG